AGGCUCUGAGUUCAAACCCUAGUACUUCUAUACUGUACAGGAACAGAAGGCAGAGUAAACCUACCCCUAUAAAUAGCUCAGCACAGGCUCUCUGCUUGUUUGUACUGUGAAUGAGACAAAACAA
rnacentral:snoRNA from 1 species